GUCCGCACAGUAAACGAUGGAUGCCCGCUGUGAGCCUGUUUAAUGGUUUGCGGCCAAGCGAAAGCGUUAAGCAUCCCACCUGGGGAGUACGCCGGCAACGGUGAAACUCAAAGGAAUUGACGGGGGCCCGCACAAGCGGAGGAACAUGUGGUUUAAUUCGAUGAUACGCGAGGAACCUUACCCGGGCUUGAAUUGCAGGUGCAUGGGGUGGAGACAUCCCUUUCCUUCGGGACUCCUGUGAAGGUGCUGCAUGGUUGUCGU
rnacentral:rRNA from 1 species